rnacentral:rRNA from 1 species
CGCCUUAUACUCCUACGGGAGGCAGCAGUGGGGAAUCUUGCGCAAUGGGCGAAAGCCUGACGCAGCCAUGCCGCGUGAAUGAUGAAGGUCUUAGGAUUGUAAAAUUCUUUCACCGGGGACGAUAAUGACGGUACCCGGAGAAAAAGCCCCGGCUAACUUCGUGCCAGCAGCCGCGGUAAUACGAAGGGGGCUAGCGUUGCUCGGAAUUACUGGGCGUAAAGGGCGCGUAGGCGGAUCGUUAAGUCAGAGGUGAAAUCCCAAGGCUCAACCCUGGAACUGCCUUUGAUACUGGCGAUCUUGAGUAUGAGAGAGGUAUGUGGAACUCCGAGUGUAGAAGUGAAAUUCGUAGAUAUUCGGAAGAACACCAGUGGCGAAGGCGACAUACUGGCUCAUUACUGACGCUGAGGCGCGAAAGCGUGGGGAGCAAACAGGAUUAGAUACCCUAGUAGUCCACGUACCA